rnacentral:rRNA from 1 species
AAAAAAGGUAAGCUACUAAGAGCGAAUGGUGGAUGCCUUGACUGGUAAAGGCGAUGAAGGACGUACUAGACUGCGAUAAGCUACGGGGAGCUGUCAAGAAGCUUUGAUCCGUAGAUUUCCGAAUGGGGCAACCCAAUGUAUAGAGAUAUACAUUACCUAUAUAGGAGCGAACGAGGGGAAUUGAAACAUCUUAGUACCCUCAGGAAAAGAAAUCAAUAGAGAUUGCGUCAGUAGCGGCGAGCGAAAGCGCAAGAGGGCAAACCCAGUGCUUGCACUGGGGGUUGUAGGACUGCAAUGUGCAAGAGGUGAGUUUAGCAGAACAUUCUGGAAAGUAUAGCCAUAGAGGGUGAUAGUCCCGUAUGCGAAAAACAAACCUUAGCUAGCAGUAUCCUGAGUAGGGCGGGACACGAGAAAUCCUGUCUGAAGCUGGGUCGACCACGAUCCAACCCUAAAUACUAAUACCAGAUCGAUAGUGCACAAGUACCGUGAGGGAAAGGUGAAAAGAACUGAGGUGAUCAGAGUGAAAUAGAACCUGAAACCAUUUGCUUACAAUCAUUCAGAGCCCUAUGUAGCAAUACAGGGUGAUGGACUGCCUUUUGCAUAAUGAGCCUGCGAGUUGUGGUGUCUGGCAAGGUUAAGCAAACGCGAAGCCGUAGCGAAAGCGAGUCUGAAUAGGGCGCUUAGUCAGAUGCUGCAGACCCGAAACGAAGUGAUCUAUCCAUGAGCAAGUUGAAGCUAGUGUAAGAACUAGUGGAGGACUGAACCCAUAGGCGUUGAAAAGCCCCGGGAUGACUUGUGGAUAGGGGUGAAAGGCCAAUCAAACUUCGUGAUAGCUGGUUCUCUCCGAAAUAUAUUUAGGUAUAGCGUUGUGUCGUAAUAUAAGGGGGUAGAGCACUGAAUGGGCUAGGGCAUACACCAAUGUACCAAACCCUAUCAAACUCCGAAUACCUUAUAUGUAAUCACAGCAGUCAGGCGGCGAGUGAUAAAAUCCGUCGUCAAGAGGGAAACAACCCAGACUACCAGCUAAGGUCCCUAAAUCUUACUUAAGUGGAAAACGAUGUGAAGUUACUUAAACAACCAGGAGGUUGGCUUAGAAGCAGCCAUCCUUUAAAGAAAGCGUAAUAGCUCACUGGUCUAGUGAUUUUGCGCGGAAAAUAUAACGGGGCUAAAGUAAGUACCGAAGCUGUAGACUUGCACACAACUUAGAUUAUUUAAGUUUAGAAUAUGAGAAACUAAGUUAUAUGUUUAGUUAUAUUUUUACUGAUUUUUAUAGAGUAAAGAUAGAAAUAAAACUUAGUAAAAUCAGUAAAAAUAUUCUUAGACUAAAGUUAAGUAGUUUAAGUUGUGUGCAAGUGGUAGGAGAGCGUUCUAUUUGCGUCGAAGGUAUACCGGUAAGGAGUGCUGGAGCGAAUAGAAGUGAGCAUGCAGGCAUGAGUAGCGAUAAUUAAUGUGAGAAUCAUUAACGCCGUAAACCCAAGGUUUCCUACGCGAUGCUCGUCAUCGUAGGGUUAGUCGGGUCCUAAGUCGAGUCCGAAAGGGGUAGACGAUGGCAAAUUGGUUAAUAUUCCAAUACCAACAUUAGUGUGCGAUGGAAGGACGCUUAGGGCUAAGGGGGCUAGCGGAUGGAAGUGCUAGUCUAAGGUCGUAGGAGGUUAUACAGGCAAAUCCGUAUAACAAUACUCCGAGAACUGAAAGGCUUUUUGAAGUCUUCGGAUGGAUAGAAGAACCCCUGAUGCCGUCGAGCCAAGAAAAGUUUCUAAGUUUAGCUAAUGUUGCCCGUACCGUAAACCGACACAGGUGGGUGGGAUGAGUAUUCUAAGGCGCGUGGAAGAACUCUCUUUAAGGAACUCUGCAAAAUAGCACCGUAUCUUCGGUAUAAGGUGUGGUUAGCUUUGUAUUAGGAUUUACUCCGAAAGCAAGGAAACUUACAACAAAGAGUCCCUCCCGACUGUUUACCAAAAACACAGCACUCUGCUAACUCGUAAGAGGAUGUAUAGGGUGUGACGCCUGCCCGGUGCUCGAAGGUUAAUUGAUGGGGUUAGCAUUAGCGAAGCUCUUGAUCGAAGCCCGAGUAAACGGCGGCCGUAACUAUAACGGUCCUAAGGUAGCGAAAUUCCUUGUCGGUUAAAUACCGACCUGCAUGAAUGGCGUAACGAGAUGGGAGCUGUCUCAAAGAGGGAUCCAGUGAAAUUGUAGUGGAGGUGAAAAUUCCUCCUACCCGCGGCAAGACGGAGAGACCCCGUGGACCUUUACUACAGCUUGACACUGCUACUUGGAUAAGAAUGUGCAGGAUAGGUGGGAGGCUUUGAGUAUAUGACGCCAGUUGUAUAUGAGCCAUUGUUGAGAUACCACUCUUUCUUAUUUGGGUAGCUAACCAGCUUGAGUUAUCCUCAAGUGGGACAAUGUCUGGUGGGUAGUUUGACUGGGGCGGUCGCCUCCCAAAUAAUAACGGAGGCUUACAAAGGUUGGCUCAGAACGGUUGGAAAUCGUUCGUAGAGUAUAAAGGUAUAAGCCAGCUUAACUGCAAGACAUACAAGUCAAGCAGAGACGAAAGUCGGUCUUAGUGAUCCGGUGGUUCUGUGUGGAAGGGCCAUCGCUCAAAGGAUAAAAGGUACCCCGGGGAUAACAGGCUGAUCUCCCCCAAGAGCUCACAUCGACGGGGAGGUUUGGCACCUCGAUGUCGGCUCAUCGCAUCCUGGGGCUGGAGCAGGUCCCAAGGGUAUGGCUGUUCGCCAUUUAAAGCGGUACGCGAGCUGGGUUCAGAACGUCGUGAGACAGUUCGGUCCCUAUCUGCCGUGGGCGUAAGAAGAUUGAAGAGAUUUGACCCUAGUACGAGAGGACCGGGUUGAACAAACCACUGGUGUAGCUGUUGUUCUGCCAAGAGCAUCGCAGCGUAGCUAAGUUUGGAAAGGAUAAACGCUGAAAGCAUCUAAGCGUGAAGCCAACUCUAAGAUGAAUCUUCUCUAAGCUCUCUAGAAGACUACUAGUUUGAUAGGCUGGGUGUGUAAUGGAUGAAAGUCCUUUAGCUGACCAGUACUAAUAGAGCGUUUGGCUUAUCUUUAAUAAAGCAU